rnacentral:lncRNA from 1 species
AAUAAAUGAGCAUGAAUGGCUAAACUGAUUUUGGUGUUAGAAUUAUUUGUACUGUGUAUUCAGCCUUGAGAGGCUAGGUUGCGAUAAAUUGCCAUGUCAUGCAGUAAAAAUAUUUUAUAAAUCAGGUGGUCGAUAAAAGAUUAGCUACUGCAGUGGCGGGGUUUCGUGGGCCAGCCUAUUAAUAGGGCACGGUAAACUCUUUUAUAUUCUCACAUCGAUCGUAGAGGCGCGUAGGGUAUCUCCUGAGGUGGGCUUUUUGAGUGCACUUCACGUGGACCACCGCGUGAGAGUGAGACUCAGCGAACGCCAAGGAAUGUCUAUGUUGUCAAAAUAAAAACAAGGCAGACUCGGUUGGAUAUCCUUGGUCCAAGUGUCCCCAAGUACAGGAUUUGGCAUGAGCCAAGUUUUGAGAAAUUUACGAGCCAUAUUGAUUAUUUGGUUGAAAUGAAUAUUCGUGUUGUGAAAAAUUUGCUGAAAUGAAUUAUUUUUAAUUAUUUCUCUUUACUCGCCUUUAGAUCAUUUAGAUGGUGUUUGUUUACUCACUGGGAUUAUGUAAUCAUAAUCUCACCUCUCUUCCUAUCCAUUUUCUAGGCUCAAGACAGUUUGUUGAUAGUUGAGUAAGAUCAGAAUUAAUCUCGGAGUUGCAUCCUAGAAAGUAAGGGUUCGUAGCCCUACACCCUCUUGGUCAGAUAGGGGCCCACGUGUCAUUGUAAAAGAAAUUUUAUACUUUAGUUAUCUGAUUUAAAGUAUGUAUGAACAUAUUUAUCUUUUACACCAUGUUUUUGACGGGUUUUGAUAUUUUUGAAGAAAAAUGACGAAAAUG